CUCGGCUCGGGCCCCUCCGGCAGCGCCCAGCCCAGGGCUCCCCAACUCGCCGCCGCCGCCUGCUCCGCCGGGGCGUCCCAGCGCCUGGCCCGCCGGGGAGGGGCGAGCGGCGAAGGAAGGAGGGAUCGCCGGGCUGGGCAGGGGGGCCGGAGGGAGGAGCCCCGGCUGCAAGCUGACACCCGCGCGCCUCGCGGAACCCAGAGAGCUCCGGCGCGCACACACUCACUCGCAUUCACACUCGCACACCGCUCACUCACACCUUCCGGGGGCUGCGCCUCCCCGCCGCGCGCACCCCCGCGCCCCCAGCCUCGUCCUGGCCCCCUCCCUUGCGCCUCGCCACGCACCCCCGGCGGUCCUUCCCCACCCUCCGGCCCACCCCUGCCACCCCCUAAGCAUCCCCUAACUUUCUUCCAAAGAACCCCCACAACUCCUCACCGCUUCCACACACCCCUCCCACCGCAUCAGCGCGCUGGCGGGCGGCACUGCCCCCUGCGGGAAAGCUUCGGACACACAGACUGGCCGCGGACACUCGCUGCCUGGAGUUCCUCGGAGCACUGGACCCCGCCAGCCUGCUCGCCCUCGCCAGAUGCGUGGGGCAGAGGAUCGGGCCUAUUUAUGGCAUCCCGGAAUACGCCGGGUGGCCUUCUGCUCCUGCUCCCGUGGGGUUCCAACGCGCCCCCUCCCUAGCCCGGGUUUUUUACCUUGUUCAGGUGCCUAAAGUCACCCGCCACUAAAAUCCCAUAGAUCACCUGCGCCCCAUAGUUCCCGACCGGGUCCUUCUUUAAACGAACAACUCAGUCUUGGUUUCAGAAAGGGUUCGGAUUUGGUUCGUUGCGAAGGAAAAUUGUGUGCUGGUGAUCUCUGGAGUCGUUCACAAAGCUGCCUCGGUAGCCAAGGAGCAUAUAAAAAAAAAUACCCAACCAGUCUCAUGCUUACUUAAAGAAAUGCCUCUUGUAAUUACAUUAAGCUAGCAUCCCUCUCCAAACAGUUCCGGAAAGUUUUAAAAAGUAGAUCCCGUGUCAUCCACAGUAGGAAC
rnacentral:lncRNA from 1 species